rnacentral:rRNA from 1 species
CGUACACUCCUGCGGGAGGCAGCAGUGGGGAAUAUUGGACAAUGGGCGCAAGCCUGAUCCAGCCAUGCCGCGUGAGUGAUGAAGGCCCUAGGGUUGUAAAGCUCUUUCACCGGUGAAGAUAAUGACGGUAACCGGAGAAGAAGCCCCGGCUAACUUCGUGCCAGCAGCCGCGGUAAUACGAAGGGGGCUAGCGUUGUUCGGAUUUACUGGGCGUAAAGCGCACGUAGGCGGACUAUUAAGUCAGGGGUGAAAUCCCGGGGCUCAACCCCGGAACUGCCUUUGAUACUGGUAGUCUUGAGUUCGAGAGAGGUGAGUGGAAUUCCGAGUGUAGAGGUGAAAUUCGUAGAUAUUCGGAGGAACACCAGUGGUGAAGGCGGCUCACUGGCUCGAUACUGACGCUGAGGUGCGAAAGCGUGGGGAGCAAACAGGAUUAGAAACCCGGGUAGUCCCA